rfam:Chloroflexi bacterium RBG_19FT_COMBO_55_16 rbg_19ft_combo_scaffold_2259, whole genome shotgun sequence.
CUUGGUGAUCGGAGCGACGGAGGUACACCCGGUAACAUCCCGAACCCGGUAGUUAAGCCCGUCAGCGCCAAUGGUACUCGGAGGGCGACCUCCCGGGAGAGUAGGUCAUCGCCAAGA